rnacentral:rRNA from 1 species
UACGUAGGGACCGAGCGUUGUCCGGAUUCAUUGGGCGUAAAGAGCUCGUAGGCGGCCACUCAAGUCGAAUGUGAAACCUCGAGGCUUAACCUCGAGCCUGCAUUCGAUACUGGGCGGCUAGAGUCUGGUAGGGGGAUCUGGAAUUCCUGGGUGUAGCGGUGGAAUGCGCAGAUAUCAGGAGGAACACCGAUGGCGAAGGCAGGUCUCUGGGCCAUAACUGACGCUGAGAAGCGAAAGCAUGGGGAGCGAACAGG